AUCACUUCUCAGCCUUUUGGCUAAGAUGAAGUGUAGUAUCUGUUCUUAUCAUUAUCAGUUCAUUAUGUUUGAUCAAAUCUUUGGGCACCUUGGUCCAGCCAAGUUGACACAGAAAAUUCACUAUCACUUUCAUGAACAUAGAUCU
rnacentral:snRNA from 1 species